AUUGAACGCUGGCGGCAGGCCUAACACAUGCAAGUCGGGCGGGGUUUUCGGACCUAGCGGCGGACGGGUGAGUAAUGCGUAGGAAGCUACCCGAUAGAGGGGGAUACCAGUUGGAAACGACUGUUAAUACCGCAUAAUGUCUACGGACCAAAGUGUGGGACCUUCGGGCCACAUGCUAUCGGAUGCGCCUACGUGGGAUUAGCUAGUUGGUGGGGUAAUGGCUCACCAAGGCGACGAUCCCUAGCUGGUUUGAGAGGAUGAUCAGCCACACUGAAACUGAGACCCGGGCCAGACUCCUAAGGGAGGCAGCAGUGGGGAAUAUUGGACAAUGGGCGCAAGCCUGAUCCAGCCAUGCCGCGUGUGUGAAGAAGGCCUUCGGGUUGUAAAGCACUUUCAGUAGGGAGGAAGGGUGUUGUGUUAAUAGCACAGCAUUUUGACGUUACCUACAGAAGAAGCACCGGCUAACUCUGUGCCAGCCGCCGCCGUAACAC
rnacentral:rRNA from 1 species